rnacentral:rRNA from 1 species
AUUGAACGCUGGCGGCAUGCCUUACACAUGCAAGUCGAACGGCAGCACGGGUGCUUGCACCUGGUGGCGAGUGGCGAACGGGUGAGUAAUACAUCGGAACAUGUCCUGUAGUGGGGGAUAGCCCGGCGAAAGCCGGAUUAAUACCGCAUACGAUCUACGGAUGAAAGCGGGGGACCUUCGGGCCUCGCGCUAUAGGGUUGGCCGAUGGCUGAUUAGCUAGUUGGUGGGGUAAAGGCCUACCAAGGCGACGAUAAGUAGCUGGUCUGAGAGGACGACCAGCCACACUGGGACUGAGACACGGCCCAGACUCCUACGGGAGGCAGCAGUGGGGAAUUUUGGACAAUGGGCGAAAGCCUGAUCCAGCAAUGCCGCGUGUGUGAAGAAGGCCUUCGGGUUGUAAAGCACUUUUGUCCGGAAAGAAAUCCUUGGCUCUAAUACAGUCGGGGGAUGACGGUACCGGAAGAAUAAGCACCGGCUAACUACGUG